CCCUCCCUGCCCACUCCCCUUUUCAAUCUGGAUUCUAUUGCAGUCUCCUCCCCUCCCCAGGUGUCACCACUUUGCCCUCUUUACCCACUCCCCUUUUCAAUCUGGGUCUUGUUGGAGUCUCCUCCCCCCCCAGGUGUCACCACUUAGCCCCCUCCACCCACUCCCCUUUAUAAGUGGCCCCAGGACAGGCAAGCCCCAAGCUUGCCCACUGUGGGCAGAAGGAUCCUCCUCGGAUCGCCACCGCUCGCUGAGGAUGACCUGGAAGGCUGUGACCACACCAGGAGCACAUCUCCACAGCGGACAGUCGACUCACGAGACACUUCAGGUGUGCCCACCUAAGCAUGCUUUGCAGAGUUUCAACUGUGGCCAGAGUCCAAGGACUGCCACAUUCACUCUCUACUCAUGUCUGAAGUAAGAUGCAGAUGAAAAAGUACUGCUAGAAGGUAUCUGAUUCUCAGCUGCAAUUGCUUGUGGGUCCACUUCCUUUUUUCUGUUGCCAAGGAAAAUAAA